AAUUCUCAAACCUUACUAGCUUUUGCGAACUAAGGCUUUGGAUGUGGGGGUUUUUGCUGGCUUCUAAUGAGGUCGGCUCCCCUGAAAUAUAUUAGCGGUGCCCUAGUGGACUCUGACUAUCAGUGUGAUAAUUAUCUACGCUGUUAGACGACCACGCGAAUGGUUUAUGCUGCUUCUAACCGUCCGUUUGGACAAUGUAAAUGACAA
rnacentral:misc_RNA from 1 species